AUGAAGCACGUAGCACUCAAUACCACUGAGACCUCCCCCCUCCCCGCGUCAAAUUUGCUUGAAUUUGUCCACCGGAUUCAAAAGUUAAGGGGAACACAGCAGCAGUGUGAUCACACACAUCUCAUUUCCUUAGAAAAGCAGACUAAAAGCAAAUGAGGAAGGUCCUUGAAUACAGAUGCGGAGCGCCCGGCUACCCAGAACCCAGGUUUUUUUGCUGCUGUUGAUGUUUGUUUCUUUUUUUUCCACUCCCUAUGUCCUUGGUACCAUGAGGAUAGAUUCAAAGCAGAGGCACUCUGCGGUGCAGGACAAGGAUCCCUGGGCAGCUGGAGAGCAACAAGCAGCUUACAGCACGGCCACUCUUUCAAGCACUCUUCCUUCUUUAUGUAACUGGGAAAGGGCUGAGGUGAGAAGGAUCCCACACAGAAAAAGAGCUGGCUUGCAAUGCAGAAGAAUGAAAGCAC